rnacentral:rRNA from 1 species
GAUGAACGCUGGCGGCGUGCCUAAUACAUGCAAGUCGAGCGAACAGAUAAGGAGCUUGCUCCUUUGACGUUAGCGGCGGACGGGUGGGUAACACGUGGGUAACCUACCUAUAAGACUGGAAUAACUCCGGGAAACCGGGGCUAAUGCCGGAUAACAUAUAGAACCGCAUGGUUCUAUAGUGAAAGAUGGUUUUGCUAUCACUUAUAGAUGGACCCGCGCCGUAUUAACUAGUUGGUAAGGUAAUGGCUUACCAAGGCGACGAUACGUAGCCGACCUGAGAGGGUGAUCGGCCACACUGGAACUGAGACACGGUCCAGACUCCUACGGGAGGCAGCAGUAGGGAAUCUUCCGCAAUGGGCGAAAGCCUGACGGAGCAACGCCGCGUGAGUGAUGAAGGGUUUCGGCUCGUAAAACUCUGUUAUUAGGGAAGAACAUAUGUGUAAGUAACUGUGCACAUCUUGACGGUACCUAAUCAGAAAGCCACGGCUAACUACGUGCCAGACGCCGCCGUAA